AUACAGAGGGUGCGAGCGUUAAUCGGAAUUACUGGGCGUAAAGCGCGCGUAGGCGGCUUAUUAAGUCAGAUGUGAAAUCCCCGGGCUCAACCUGGGAACUGCAUCUGAUACUGGUAAGCUAGAGUUUUGGAGAGGGAAGUAGAAUUUCAGGUGUAGCGGUGAAAUGCAUAGAGAUCUGAAGGAAUACCAGUGGCGAAGGCGACUUCCUGGCCAAAAACUGACGCUGGGGUGCGAAAGCGUGGGUAGCAAACGGGAUUAGAAACCCUAGUAGUCC
rnacentral:rRNA from 1 species